CCUCUCUCACUGAGGUCGUAUCCUCUAUACCCUCUCUCUCACUGAGGUCGUAUCCUCUAUACCCUCUCUCUC